UUAUUUUUAAGUUUGUUCCUAGGUAGUUUAUGUCUUUGGUUGUUUAUGUUGAUUAUGUUUGGUUGUUUAUUUUUUUUUGAUAGUUUGUGUUUUUUGGUUGCUUUUGUGAAUAGGAUCUUCUUCCAGGGAGGUCUUUAUAUGACACAUUGUAAAAGAAACUAAUAAAUAUUUUUUAGAACUUCAGUGUCUUAAGGAAAUUUUACUUACCUCUUUUAUUUGUAAAUAAUUAUCAAAAAGUUCUGGGACGGUGGUUCACACCUGUAAUCCCAGCACUUUGGGAGGCUGAGGCAAGAGGAUUGCUUGAACUCAUGAGUUGGAGACCAGCCUGGCCAACAUGGUGAAACCCCAUCUGUAUUAAAACUACAAAAAAUUACCUGGGCAUGGUGGCGCGCUCCUGUAGUCCCAGCUACUCAGGAGGCUGAGGCAGGAGAAUCGCUUGAACCUGGGAAGCGGAGGUUGCAGUGAGCUGAGAUCGCGCCACUGCGCUCCAGCCUGAGCAACAGAGCAAAACCUUGUCUCAAAAUAAUAAUAAUAAUGGUUAAAAAUGAUCAUAGUUGCUUUGUAAUGUGUCCUGUUGGCUUUUCAUUUAAUGGUGGUACAAAGGUAACAGAAUUUUGGAGAAAUUCCAAAUUGCAUGGUGGUGUUGAAAGCUUUCCCACUUCAGGAGCUGCUGCAGGAAGUCUCUAUUUGGCUGCCAGAAAAGAACACCUAAAAGCUGAGUCACUCAACAGUUUGCAAGAUUUGGCAGCCAAGGUUUGCAGAGCAAGGUUCCAGGGACAUGACACUGGUUCCUAAAAAAGGUAAAAGGAAGGGAGAGUGCAGGAAGGGUCUAAAGCUUUCAACCCAGUGUGGGAAAGACCCAGGAGGCAAUAAUGCCUGCUCUGGUUCUCUUCCCACCUUCAUGGUCACCCUCAUUUGUUGAGCUCCUGCAUUGCCUCUCCAGGUAGCAGGAAUCCAGAUACAUAAAAGGCAGUGCACUGAUCUCAUCCGGUGAUUAGGAGGAAAUCGAACAUUCAUCCCACCUGAGGAACAUUUACUGAGCUCUGCCUGGGGCCAGGAAUCCAAAAAGAACUUCAGAGAGUAAAUAAAGAAUUAUAAUAGAGUGAGGCGAAUGCUGUGAGGUAAGCUGAAGGUGUCACAGGAGCCCAAAGGAAGAACUUGCUCACUUUUCCUGUAAAGAGGGUGGGAUGGGUAAUUGGAAAGAUGUCACCAAGGAGAUGUGUGAGCCUGGCUCUGCAGACAAGACAAGGUAUCAGGUACCUCUAAGAGGGGGCAGGGAAUUCUCAGCUUUCAAGAGCCAAACAGCCAUGACUAGAAGCAUGUGUUAGCCAGCAGCAGAGACCCAGGCAGGCAGAUGAGGAAGAUGAGUUACUUCCCCAAGGGUGGGGCUGGUGCUCCUUCAAGCCCUCCCUCUUAGGGCCAGCUUGUGCCAAGACCUGAGCAGGGGUUGGAGCUGAAGGUCAGCAGCAACUAUAUGGCCUGCAGAAGAGAAGGGGUGGGGCUGAGUCAGAUACACAUUUAUCUGAUAUCAGUUCAAUUUCCCGGGGGGCAGGGUGGAAAUAUGGGCACAGUGUGUCGAGGCAGAGAAGCAGAAAACAUGGGCCUGAAGGCACUGGUUUAUGCCUGACCACAGGGAAAGGUUUAGAAACAAGCCCUGCCUAGUCCACUCCUCCACCCCCUCCACCCGCCAUGAUUUGUCCAACGGCUGGCUCCAUUUGGCAGUAUGCCCCGAGGAUCUGGAUGCUGAGGAUGACUUAGGUUCCAGGGUCUAGCCAAGGUAACCCAGCACUUCAGCCUACAUCUUCAGCAUCACUGGGUAGGCUUAUUAAACACAAGAUGCUGGGCCCACCCCUGAGUCUCUGAUUCAGCAGGUCUAGAAGGGGGCCCCCUAAAUUAUGCUUUAACAAGUUCCAGGUGAUUCUAGUCCAGGGACCAUGUUUUGAGAACCACCAAGGUAAUCCAAGCCGGGUAUCCUCGUUGACCAAGGGCCCUGGAGAUGCUGCCUGGGGCUAAGACAAGGGCACUGGAUUUGAAAGCUGAGGGUUCUGGUUGCGGGCUGGCUCAGGCUACUCGGUUGCCACAUGUACAAAAGGGUAAUUCUGCAUCUUAAAUAAGACCUUAGAUAUGAAAGCCCUUUGUCAACUGAGAGGUGAGAUUUGAUGUCAGUUUUUUUACAUGCAAACCUAGGGCUGUAAAGUUUGCUCAUUUCUCCUAAAAUAAUUAUGGCUGUGGUCUGAGGACCACACGUACAACAGGAUCCUCUGGGAAGCUUCCUAGAAUGCAGACUUUGCAGCUCUAAAUCUUGAUGUGGACCCUAUCAUCACAUUUACAUUUUCAGCACAUCUUCAGUGAUUCUUGUGCACCCCAAGGAAUUUGAAAACCACUUGCUUAUGCUGGGGCGGUAGUGAGGGAUGGAAAAAAGCUGUUCUUCCGUUUUCUGAUCUGCUGUUGGGCCAGGAAGAUCCCCCGCCCUCGCCCUGAAGUUUCCUUGCUGCCAGCAUCCUUUGGGAACCUCUCAUCUCAGGAAGGCUGCCUCUCUGCCCCGUCAUUUUCCUCCUGGCUCCCAGCUGCAUGCAGGCGCCACCUCCUGGCAACAUAGUUCUUUCACUCUUUUUCUCCUGUUGUGUUAAUCAGAUCCUCCCCACAUUAAGUGUUGAGAAAAAGAGCCUUUCCAAUGUCAGAAAGAAAUGUGAUUCUCUUACAUUUGAGGGGUUUCGAUGCCUCCUUAAAUGUCUUCACUUCUUGUGAUUUUACUAUUCCACUCUCUAAAAAACAACAAUUAAUAAAUAUAUAUACGUUUAAUUCUUAGUUUUAAUUUAAUUUUUUUUUUUGUAGACAGAGUCUCCCUCGGUUGCUCAGGCUAGAGUGCAGUGGUGUGAUCUCAGCUCACUGCAACCUCCGCCUCCCAGCAUGCACCACCACGCCCACCUAGUUUUUUGUGUGUUUUCGUAGAGAUGGGGUUUCACCAUGUUGGCCAGGCUGGUCUCCAACUCCUGAUCUCAGGUGAUCCACCUGCCUCAGCCUCCCAAAGUGCUGAGAUUACAGGCAUGAGCCACUGUGCCUGGCCUUAGUUUUAAUUUUUAAUACAGUAAAUAUCAACAGAUAUAUCUCACAUAAAAACAUUUUGGGGCCGUGUGUGUGUGUGUGUGUGUGUGUGUGUGUGCGUGUGUGUAUGUGUGUUAUUUUUUUUAACUCUAGGUGCUAACCUUAAAUAAUUCUCCUCUGGGCCAGAUGUGGUGGCUCAUGCCUGUAAUUCCAACACUUUGGGAGGGUGAAGCAAGAGGAUCAUUGGAGGCCAGGAGCUUGAGACCUGCCUGGCCAAGACCCAGUUUCCGCACACACAAAAAAGAAAAAUUAGCCAGGCAUGGUGGCAAGCACCUGUGGUCCCAGCUAUUUGAGAGGCUGAAGUGGGAGGAUCACUUGAGCACAGGACAUGGAGGCUACAGUGAGCUAUGAUCACACCACUGCACUCCAGCCUGGGUGACAGAGUGAGACCCUGUCUCUAAAAACAGCAACAAUAAUAGUCCUCUGUAUAUUUUAAGAGAACAAAGGAUUCUAAGACCAAAGAGUUUGCGAGUCACUGACUUAUAUAUUUAUAAAAUGGAAACAAAAGUCUCACACUACAAUAGUCAUCCUUACAUCAUACAAUGUACCCUGAG
rnacentral:lncRNA from 1 species